ACAGCAGUAGCCGCGGUAAUACGAAGGGGGCUAGCGUUGCUCGGAAUUACUGGGCGUAAAGGGAGCGUAGGCGGAUCGUUAAGUUGGGGGUGAAAGCCCGGGGCUCAACCUCGGAAUUGCCUUCAAUACUGGCGAUCUUGAGUAUGGAAGAGGUAUGUGGAACUCCGAGUGUAGAGGUGAAAUUCGUAGAUAUUCGGAAGAACACCAGUGGCGAAGGCGACAUACUGGUCCAUUACUGACGCUGAGGCUCGAAAGCGUGGGGAGCAAACAGGAUUAGAUACCCCUGUAGUCCCUGUCUCUUAUAC
rnacentral:rRNA from 1 species